rnacentral:rRNA from 1 species
UUGGAGGGCAAGUCUGGUGCCAGCAGCCGCGGUAAUUCCAGCUCCAAUAGCGUAUAUUAAAGUUGUUGCAGUUAAAAAGCUCGUAGUUGAAUUUCGGGAUCAAUGUUUCGGUCAUGCCGUUGGUAUGUACUGAUAUUAUUGAUUUCUCACCUUCUAAAGAACCGUAAUGCCAUUAAUUUGGUGUCACGGGGAAUUAGGACUGUUGCCUUGAAAAAAUUAGAGUGUUUAAAGCAGGCUCACGCUUGAAUACAUCAGCAUGGAAUAAUGAAAUAGGACAUCCGAUUCUAUUUUGUUGGUUUCUAGGAUCGAUGUAAUGAUUAAUAGGGAUAGUUGGGGGCAUUAGUAUUCAAUUGUCAGAGGUGAAAUUCUUGGAUUUAUUGAAGACUAACUACUGCGAAAGCAUUUGCCAAGGAUGUUUUCAUUAAUCAAGAACGAAAGUUAGGGGACCGAAGACGAUCAGAUACCGUCGUAGUCUUAACCAUAAACUAUGCCGACUAGGGAUCGGAUGAUGUUUAUUUUUUAGUGACUCAUUCGGCGCCUUACGGGAAAC